rnacentral:rRNA from 1 species
CUUACGGGGGGCAGCAGUCGAGAAUUUUUCACAAUGGGCGCAAGCCUGAUGGAGCGACGCCGCGUGGGGGAUGAAUGGCUUCGGCCCGUAAACCCCUGUCAUUUGCGAUCAAACCUUGCUAUUUAAAAGAUGGCGAGCUGAUAGUAGCGAAAGAGGAAGGGACGGCUAACUCUGUGCCAGCAGCCGCGGUAAUACAGAGGUCCCAAGCGUUGUUCGGAUGGGCUGGGCGUAAAGGGGGUGUAGGUGGUGUGAAAUCUCGGAGCUCAACUCCGAAAUGGCAUUGGAAACUACCCUGCUAGAGGGUCGGAGGGGGGACUGGAAUUCUCGGUGUAGCAGUGAAAUGCGUAGAUAUCGAGAGGAACACCAGUGGCGAAGGCGAGUCCCUGGACGACUCCUGACACUGAGGCACGAAAGCUAGGGGAGCAAACAGGAUUAGAUACCCCAGUAGUC